CUACGGGUGGCUGCAGUGAGGAAUAUUGCACAAUGGGGGAAACCCUGAUGCAGCAACGCCGCGUGGAGGAUGACGCAUUUCGGUGUGUAAACUCCUUUUAUCAGAGAAGAAAAUGACGGUAUCUGAUGAAUAAGCUCCGGCUAACUCCGUGCCGGCAGCCGCGGUAAUACGGAGGGAGCAAGCGUUAUUCGGAAUCACUGGGCGUAAAGGACGCGUAGGCGGGUUUUUAAGUCAGGUGUGAAAUCCUAUGGCUCAACCAUAGAACUGCACUUGAAACUGGGGACCUAGAGUAUGGAAGGGGCAGGUGGAAUUAGUGGUGUAGGGGUAAAAUCCGUAGAUAUCACUAGGAAUACCGAAAGCGAAGGCGACCUGCUGGGACAUUACUGACGCUGAGGCGUGAAAGCGUGGGGAGCAAACAGGAUUAGAUACCCUAGUAGUC
rnacentral:rRNA from 1 species